CCUGAUGACGAUAGCAUUGUGGCACCACCUGAUCCAUUUCGAACUCAGAAGUGAAACACAAUAGCGGCGAUGGUAGUGUGGGGUUUCCCAUGUGAGAGUAGCACAUUAUCAGGU
rfam:Catenovulum agarivorans DS-2 contig18, whole genome shotgun sequence.